rnacentral:rRNA from 1 species
CAGUCGCCGCGGUAAUACGGAGGGUGCGAGCGUUAAUCGGAAUAACUGGGCGUAAAGGGCACGCAGGCGGUGACUUAAGUGAGGUGUGAAAGCCCCGGGCUUAACCUGGGAAUUGCAUUUCAUACUGGGUCGCUAGAGUACUUUAGGGAGGGGUAGAAUUCCACGUGUAGCGGUGAAAUGCGUAGAGAUGUGGAGGAAUACCGAAGGCGAAGGCAGCCCCUUGGGAAUGUACUGACGCUCAUGUGCGAAAGCGUGGGGAGCAAACAGGAUUAGAUACCCCAGUAGUCCCUGUCUCUUAUAC